rnacentral:rRNA from 1 species
GACGAACGCUGGCGGCGUGCCUAAUACAUGCAAGUAGAACGCUGAAGAGAGGAGCUUGCUCUUCUUGGAUGAGUUGCGAACGGGUGAGUAACGCGUAGGUAACCUGCCUUGUAGCGGGGGAUAACUAUUGGAAACGAUAGCUAAUACCGCAUAACAAUGGAUGACGCAUGUCAUUUAUUUGAAAGGGGCAAUUGCUCCACUACAAGAUGGACCUGCGUUGUAUUAGCUAGUAGGUGAGGUAACGGCUCACCUAGGCGACGAUACAUAGCCGACCUGAGAGGGUGAUCGGCCACACUGGGACUGAGACACGGCCCAGACUCCUACGGGAGGCAGCAGUAGGGAAUCUUCGGCAAUGGGGGCAACCCUGACCGAGCAACGCCGCGUGAGUGAAGAAGGUUUUCGGAUCGUAAAGCUCUGUUGUAAGUCAAGAACGAGUGUGAGAGUGGAAAGUUCACACUGUGACGGUAGCUUACCAGAAAGGGACGGCUAACUACGUGCCAGCAGCCGCGGUAAU